rnacentral:rRNA from 1 species
GACAGAGGGUGCAAACGUUGUUCGGAAUUACUGGGCGUAAAGCGUGUGUAGGCGGUUUGCUAAGUCGGAUGUGAAAGCCCCGGGCUCAACCCGGGAAGUGCACUCGAAAACUGGCAGGCUAGAGUAUCGGAGAGGUUGGUGGAAUUCUCGGUGUAGAGGUGAAAAUUCGUAGAUAUCGAGAGGAACACCGGUGGCGAAGGCGGCC